rnacentral:rRNA from 1 species
CCCUUAGAUGUCCUGGGCCGCACGCGUGCUACACUGACGCAUACAGCGAGCACUUUCCAGUUCCGAGAGGCUACUGGUAAUCAUCAAUAUGCGUCGUGAUGGGGAUAGAACUUUGGAAUUCUGGAUCUUGAACGAGGAAUGCCUAGUAAUCGCAGGUCAUUAGCCUGCGAUGAUUAAGUCCCUGCCCUUUGUACACACCGCCCGUCGCUACUACCGAUUUCGAGUGGUCAGGUGAAUCUUUCGGACUGUGGGCGCCCUUGAGGUGUUCGCGGAAAGUCAGGUAAAUCUUAUCACUUAGAGGAAGUAAAAGUCGUAACA